CCUACGGGAGGCAGCAGUGAGGAAUAUUGGUCAAUGGACGAGAGUCUGAACCAGCCAAGUAGCGUGAAGGAUGACUGCCCUAUGGGUUGUAAACUUCUUUUAUAUGGGAAUAAAAUGUUCCACGUGUGGGAGUUUGUAUGUACCAUAUGAAUAAGGAUCGGCUAACUCCGUGCCAGCAGCCUCGGUAAUACGGAGGAUCCGAGCGUUAUCCGGAUUUAUUGGGUUUAAAGGGAGCGUAGGUGGAUUGUUAAGUCAGUUGUGAAAGUUUGCGGAUCAACCGUAAAAUUGCAGUUGAAACUGGCAGUCUUGAGUACAGUAGAGGUGGGCGGAAUUCGUGGUGUAGCGGUGAAAUGCUUAGAUAUCACGAAGAACUCCGAUUGCGAAGGCAGCUCACUGGACUGCAACUGACACUGAGGCUCGAAAGUGUGGGUAUCAAACAGGAUUAGAUACCCUAGUAGUC
rnacentral:rRNA from 1 species